rnacentral:rRNA from 1 species
GACGAACGCUGGCGGCGUGCCUAAUACAUGCAAGUCGAGCGGACCUCUUCGGAGGUCAGCGGCGGACGGGUGAGUAACACGUGGGCAACCUGCCUGUAAGACUGGGAUAACUCCGGGAAACCGGAGCUAAUACCGGAUACUAUGUCAAACCGCAUGGUUUGACAUUCAAAGACGGUUUCGGCUGUCACUUACAGAUGGGCCCGCGGCGCAUUAGCUAGUUGGUGAGGUAACGGCUCACCAAGGCGACGAUGCGUAGCCGACCUGAGAGGGUGAUCGGCCAAACGGGGACUGAGACACGGCCCAGACUCCUACGGGAGGCAGCAGUAGGGAAGCUUCCGCAAUGGACGAAAGUCUGACGGAGCAACGCCGCGUGAGUGAUGAAGGUUUUCGGAUCGUAAAACUCUGUUGUCAGGGAAGAACAAGUGCCGGAGUAACUGCCGGCGCCUUGACGGUACCUGACCAGAAAGCCACGGCUAACUACGUGCCAGCCGCCGCCGUAACAC